GUUUAUUGAUGACUAUCCAUGCUAAUACUGAGACGUCAGGAGUAAGAAUUCUUCUGGAUGUAAAUGACUAGUUUUACUAGAACUGAAAGCA